rnacentral:rRNA from 1 species
UACGGGGGGGGGCAAGCGUUGUUCGGAAUUACUGGGCGUAAAGCGCACGUAGGCGGAUUUGUAAGUCAGGGGUGAAAUCCCGGGGCUCAACCUCGGAACUGCCUUUGAUACUGCAAAUCUCGAGUCCGAUAGAGGUGAGUGGAAUUCCUAGUGUAGAGGUGAAAUUCGUAGAUAUUAGGAAGAACACCAGUGGCGAAGGCGGCUCACUGGUCCGGUACUGACGCUGAGGUGCGAAAGCGUGGGGAGCAAACAGGG